rnacentral:tRNA from 1 species
UUCUUGAUGGCGGUUGGACUGCUGCUGUUGCUGGGGCCGGCGGUUUCGUUCGCGGCCGAUCCGGUUCCGGCCCAGGUCAAGGGG